AUGUUGUUCUUUUACUUUACAGUCCUGGCACUUCUUACAGAUAAUGUUCUUACAAAUACAAUAACAUCUCAUUCUACUAAACAGCAAGUUUUAGAAGAAGGAAAGGUUACUAUUUCUUGCACCUACAGUGGAGGCAAUAUUAACAGUUUUCAGUGGUACAGACAGUAUCCCAACACUGCACCUGAAUUUCUCUUGCAAGCUUUUGAAAGUUCGGGACCGCAGCAGAAGGACCGUUAUGUUGCUGAAGUUCAAAAGAAUGAAAAACAACUAGAUCUGAAGAUCUCCAAAACUGAGAUAACAGAUGCUGCAGUAUACUACUGUGCCCUGCAGCCCACAGUAACAGGAAACACUUCAACACUGUACAAAAACCUGAGAUAUCACAUUUGACUAUAGUUUCUCUGAUUUUUUUUUUCUACUGCACAGAAUGAUGGAUAUUAAUGGUGAUUAAUUCAUAUUCAUGGUCAUUAACACUGAUAAAAGUGUGAUAUAAAAAAUUAAUUUGAGCA